UAGGGAAUCUUCGGCAAUGGACGGAAGUCUGACCGAGCAACGCCGCGUGAGUGAAGAAGGUUUUCGGAUCGUAAAGCUCUGUUGUAAGAGAAGAACGAGUGUGAGAGUGGAAAGUUCACACUGUGACGGUAUCUUACCAGAAAGGGACGGCUAACUACGUGCCAGCAGCCGCGGUAAUACGUAGGUCCCGAGCGUUGUCCGGAUUUAUUGGGCGUAAAGCGAGCGCAGGCGGUUAGAUAAGUCUGAAGUUAAAGGCUGUGGCUUAACCAUAGUACGCUCUGGAAACUGUUUAACUUGAGUGCAAGAGGGGAGAGUGGAAUUCCAUGUGUAGCGGUGAAAUGCGUAGAUAUAUGGAGGAACACCGGUGGCGAAAGCGGCUCUCUGGCUUGUAACUGACGCUGAGGCUCGAAAGCGUGGGGAGCAAACAGGAUUAGAUACCCUGGUAGUCCACGCCGUAAACGAUGAGUGCUAGGUGUUAGACCCUUUCCGGGGUUUAGUGCCGCAGCUAACGCAUUAAGCACUCCGCCUGGGGAGUACGACCGCAAGGUUG
rnacentral:rRNA from 1 species